rnacentral:rRNA from 1 species
UACAGAGGUCCCAAGCGUUGUUCGGAUUCACUGGGCGUAAAGGGUGCGUAGGCGGUGAGGUAAGUCUGACGUGAAAUCUCCGAGCCUAACUCGGAAACUGCGUUGGAUACUAUCUUGCUCGAGGAAUGGAGGGGAGACUGGAAUACUUGGUGUAGCAGUGAAAUGCGUAGAUAUCAAGUGGAACACCAGUGGCGAAGGCGAGUCUCUGGACAUUUCCUGACGCUGAGGCACGAAAGCCAGGGGAGCAAACGGG